GACGAACGCUGGCGGCGUGCUUAACACAUGCAAGUCGAACGGAAAGGCCCUGCUCUUGCGGGGUGCUCGAGUGGUGAACGGGUGAGUAUCACGUGAGUAACCUGCCCUUGACUUUGGGAUAAAUCCAGGAAAAUGGGGCUAAUAUAGGAUAUGAGCUCUUGCUGCACGGUGGGGGUUGGAAAGUUUCGGUGGUUGGGGAUGGACUCGAGGCUUAUCGGCUUGUUUGGGGGGUAGGAGAUUACCAAGUCUUUGACGGAUAGCCGGCCUGGGAGGGUGACCGGCCACAUGAGGACUGAGAUACGGCCCAGACUCCUACGGGAGGCAGCAGUGGAGAACAUUCCACAAUAGGCGGAAGCCUGUUGCGACAACGCCGCGAGCGGAAUGCCGGCCUUCGAGUUGUAAACCGCUUUCGCCGGUGACGAAGCGUUAGUGACGGUAUUGGGUAAAGAAGCACCGGCUAACUACGUG
rnacentral:rRNA from 1 species